UGCAGCAAAGCCAAGGCUGUGGGAGCAGCAGAAGUCCAAAAGGAGACGUGGAACUUGCAUCAGUCCCUCGGGAGCAGAGGGAUUAAAUCCCAGCUUGGAACAUGGGAGUGUCCAAUGGACACAGCCAGAGGUGGAACUUCAACAGACCUGCCCAAAUAUCCAGAACUGGGUUUGGUGUCUUCAGACUGACACAAUCCCUCCUUGCUGUGAUUCCAGGGCUGUCCAAACCCUCCAUUCAGCAGCGUUCCCAGGGAGCUGCUCCAGGAUUUGGAGAGAGAACCUCACCCUCUCUCUCACUGCCUGCUUGUGGCCUUGUCUCAUCUCCCUGGGAAGCAUCUUGGCCUCCAUUUAUUUACAAGACUGUCUUUAUUUCAAAGAAAUUCUAAAGUGACCUGACAGGGAGAAAUCUGAGGAAAUUAAGAGGGAGGCCUGGCUGAUGGCAAGAAAACAAGCUGAGAUUUCCAGUAAUAAGUGUCAGCUGGAGCAAGGAGAUGUCAGAUCAGCUCAUUAGAGUGCAUGAAAGGCCUUCUUCCCUCCCAGCCUGGCUGCAUCCCCAGUUACUCAAGGACUGGUUAUGGAAUUGGUUUUGAUUCCUGAUUUGCAGGGGGCACUGAAGCACGUGCAGGUUCCUCAGCAUGGAUCCCUCCUGGCUCAGGCUCCUCCAGGAGCAUUAGAAACCUCUGCAUCAGCUGCUCCAGGCCCUUUUCCAGCUCCUUUUCAUGCCCUGAGGUCUCCAAGCACUGGGGCCAAGCCUUGGCCACCACCUCCAUCCCUGCCACGUGUCACACACGUUUAUUAUAUAGAAAUGAGUCACAUUUAUUAUAUAGAAAUGUGUACAUUUAUUGUAUAGAAAUGACUCACAUUCAUUCCUGAGGAGCUGCUGCUGCUGUGCUCUCUCUCCAAAGAGAAGGAAAUACUCAUUUCAAUCCCUUUUAUUCCUGUUUAUUCUGUGCCCUUUACGGGUUGGAUUCACUGAUGCCCUGUAGAGGCGAUUCCCUCCCCUGCCCUUUAGAGGUUUCUCACCAACAUGACUCACAUUUCUGCAGGAAAUCUGCAUUUUUUGGCAUUCCCAAGGGGCUGCUGAUGUGCUACAGGUCUCUGUUUUCCUGUCUGGAAUGCUGCUAAAGAGCACUGAGGGUGAUUUAUAGCUACCAACCCUCUGCAGCGCUUUUUCUCUUGAGCUAAGGAUUUUUCUCCACAGAAUCUCCACCUCCAAGUGGUCCUGUGGCUCCUGCAGUUGUGGCUUUCAGCUGUUUGUCUUGCUAAUGCUGAUCAUUUUAUUUGCAUCUCAUGUGCUACCACAAGAAAUGCUUUAUCUUCACCUGCCUGGUGACAAAGAAAAGGCAGAGAAAAAUCAGAUAAAGCCUCCCUUGGUGCUCCUGAGCACUGGAGCUGCCACAGGGGGACUAAAGAUGCCCUGUCACAGGGGAAGGGUGUGUUCUGAAGUGAUCACAUCAUCCCAGCAGCCUUUUUUGGGAAGUGCCACCACCAAACCUCCUCAGGCAGCACCAUCCAGCCCAUCCA